AUUACUUCCCGUUUUCUCGAUCUGCUGCUCGUCUCAGGCUCGUAGUUCGCCUUCAACAUGCCGGAACCAGCGAAGUCCGCUCCCGCGCCCAAGAAGGGCUCGAAGAAAGCCGUGACUAAGGCGCAGAAGAAGGACGGCAAGAAGCGCAAGCGCAGCCGCAAGGAGAGCUACUCCGUAUACGUGUACAAGGUGCUGAAGCAGGUCCACCCCGACACCGGCAUCUCCUCUAAGGCCAUGGGAAUCAUGAACUCCUUCGUCAACGACAUCUUCGAACGCAUCGCGGGUGAGGCUUCCCGCCUGGCGCAUUACAACAAGCGCUCGACCAUCACCUCCAGGGAGAUCCAGACGGCCGUGCGCCUGCUGCUGCCCGGGGAGUUGGCCAAGCACGCCGUGUCCGAGGGCACCAAGGCCGUCACCAAGUACACCAGCGCUAAGUAAACUUGCCAAGUAAGCGUCUUAAAGCCCAACCCCAAAGGCUCUUUUAAGAGCCACUUAAAUUAUCGAUAUUAGAGCUGUAAACACGUGUUCCUAAUCCAGGCUUAAAUUCGGGCGAUCUUUUUAAAGGGAUUAUCAUGAUCUUAUCACACUGAGUAAUGCAUGCAGUGCUUGUAAUCGAGUCUGGCUAAGGAGAAGCCACAUACACUUUGUUAGUACUGAGUGAGGAAUAUGGCGCCUAAAAAAUUAGGGAUGUGCAGGAAACUUGUGUUAACAGAAAGUGCUUCCUGGCUCUUGGCGCGAAAAUGGAUACUUCCGUUGUGUCGAGUGCUGUGACUUCCUGUUAGAACUUGUUGAAAGCCUAUUGUGUCACGUGUACUUUCCACCAUGUAAUGGCGUUCUAACGUGAGUUUAUAUAUUAGUAAAUUUGGUUCCCGAUGGCGUUCCAGGAGGGACUUUCUCUGGAAUUUCCUGAUAUGACCAAGAAAGCUUCUUAUCAAAAGAAGCACAAUUGCCUUCGGUUACCUCAUUAUCUACUGCAGAAAAGAAGACGAGAAUGCAACCAUACCUAGAUGGACUUUUCCACAAGCUAAAGCUGGCCUCUUGAUCUCAUUCAGAUUCCAAAGAGAAUCAUUUACAAGUUAAUUUCUGUCUCCUUGGUCCAUUCCUUCUCUCUAAUAAUCAUUUACUGUUCCUCAAAGAAUUGUCUACAUUACCCAUCUCCUCUUUUGCCUCUGAGAAAGAGUAUAUAAGCUUCUGUACCCCACUGGGGGGUUGGGGUAAUAUUCUGUGGUCCUCAGCCCUGUACCUUAAUAAAUUUGUAUGCCUUUUCUCUUA